rnacentral:rRNA from 1 species
UACGUAGGGUGCGAGCGUUAAUCGGAAUUACUGGGCGUAAAGCGUGCGCAGGCGGCUUUGCAAGACAGAUGUGAAAGCCCCGGGCUCAACCUGGGAAUUGCAUUUGAAACUGGGAAACUAGAGUGUGUGAGAGGGGGGUAGAAUUCCGCGUGUAGCAGUGAAAUGCGUAGAUAUGCGGAGGAACACCGAUGGCGAAGGCAAUCCCCUGGACCUGUACUGACGCUCAUGCACGAAAGCGUGGGGAGCAAACAGG